UGGGGAAUUUUGGACAAUGGGGGCAAGCCUGAUGACGCAACGCCGCGUGGGGGAUGAAGGUCUUCGGAUCGUAAACCCCUGUCGAAUGGGACGAAAGACUCGCGAGUGAAUACUUCGCGAGAGUGACGGUACCGUUAAAGGAAGCCACGGCUAACUCUGUGCCAGCAGCCGCGGUAAUACAGAGGUGGCAAGCGUUGUUCGGAAUUACUGGGCGUAAAGGGCGCGUAGGCGGCCCUCUAAGUCAGACGUGAAAUCCCCCGGCUUAACCUGGGAACUGCGUCUGAUACUGGAGGGCUUGAGUAUGGGAGAGGGAUGUAGAAUUCCAGGUGUAGCGGUGAAAUGCGUAGAUAUCUGGAGGAAUACCGGUGGCGAAGGCGGCAUCCUGGACCAUUACUGACGCUGAGGCGCGAAAGCUAGGGGAGCAAACGGGAUUAGAUACCCUUGUAGUCCCUGAGCGGGCUGGCAAGGCGCAU
rnacentral:rRNA from 1 species